AGGCGAGGCGCCAUCCCGGGCAGUCGAGCGUCAUGGCGAUGGCCCUUGUCCCACGCUGUAAGGCCAGAAGAAAAGCCCAAGAAAGAAACGUGAGGACUCCCUGGAGGUGAAGCGGAGGUCCCAGGCCUUUGAAGUCACAGGACAAGGGAUCCUCACCCAGCUCCGAGCUCAUCUGGCUCUCCAGCCAACGCAGCUCUCCCGCCCCAAGAUGCACGUCGCUGGACCCUGUUCCGUGGAGAAUCACACCUCAGAACAGAGGAUGCCAGUGGUUGGGCACCUGACCCCUACCGUCCGGCCCCUGGGAAAGGCCACACUGCCUAUGGCCAAGGUCAAACUUCCUCCGUGCCAGAACUCGGGCCCGGAGGACACCUCCCCUGUCGCUGCCCCCUCCAACCCAGGCGAUGUUUCCGAACGGGUUGCUCGGAUGCCCCGCCUGACCUAUGGCACAAGCACCAAAGGGAAAAACGGAUGCUUAUGGCACAACUGAGGGGCCCUGCCCGGAACUGGCCCUCCUGCCCGCCAAGGCUUGAUGGGGUGUGGCAGCAAAGGGAGACGGAGGCUGGGCAGAUGGGGAUGACUUGGCGUCAGGAGCUCGGGAUCUCAGAAGGCUGGGGCCCCUGGGACCCAGGAACCAUGGGGGUGCCUGCCCCCACACUUCCGUGCCUUCAGUGCCAACGGGAAGGGGAGCUGAGCCCAGGAGGCAUGGCCUGGAUGGCAGGGCUCCCUGGCUUCCCAGCCCUGGAUCCCAGGGCUCUCUGGGCAGAGACUCCUGUUGCCGAAACUCUAUUCUAAGAUCUGCAACCAGAUUGGCCUGAGGAAUGUGGGGCGGGGGUGGAGCAGGGAGGGACUGUUCGUGGGAUUAGGGCUCCUGGGCCCACAUCUGGGACAAGGGCAUGCUGGAUGGUUGGGGAAGGGCCCGACGGGCAUUUCCCUUACUGUGGCUGGGGGCUGGAAAGGAAUCUAGCUUUGUUACUCAGCAGUCGCUUCCACCUUCCCCCUGCCCCCCAACUGCUUGUUAACAAUAAAAAUCCCAUUUGAGUUUU